GUACUCGCAUGCAGCAAAUGCAAACAUUACGGAUGAAAAAAAAUAACAGCAAAUAAAUACGUAGAACAAGAGAGUCCUAGAGAAAAAAAAUUGCCUUCAAGUUCUGGCCAGGCAUUGGAAGUUUCAGGGUAAAGGAGUAUGUUAAAGCAUUACAUUGUUUAUAGCACGGCUGCGUGAAUGCUGGAUCAUCUGCCAGUGAUGGAGGAUCCUGACCAAAUAUCAUUUUGCAACUCAUGUCAUCAAAAUCUGCAAAUCAGAAGAUGAGUCUACUUGCAAUGUGGUUUGUGCAUGGGGCCCCCCAUUUACAUGAUGAGCAUGGCCUCCACUUUAUGUUGCAGAUGGCCUGGUGAGUACUGCAAGAACAGGUGAGUAUUCAUCCCUACGAAUGCAUCUCCGGCGAUUACCAGUUGUGAAGGAGAUCCUGCUCUGUGUAAAUAGCUUGGCUUCCAUGAAGAUGCUUUUGUGGGAAGGGAAAAGGAAAUUGAGGUUUGAAAUGUUCUCUGUGUCUAUUUAAGAGAUAGGGUGUGUGGUAAAAACAAAAAAGUGCAUGUAGAGCAUCUGGGAGGAGGCUAAAUGCUUAAGAUCCUGUUUUUUGGAGUGUAGCAAAUGCAGAAUACUGGCCUUCUUAUGCAGUAUAAGAUGCUUUUUCCAGCUUUA